UAGCUUGCUACCUGACCUAGCGGCGGACGGGUGAGUAAUGCUUAGGAAUCUGCCUAUUAGUGGGGGACAACAUUCCGAAAGGAAUGCUAAUACCGCAUACGCCCUACGGGGGAAAGCAGGGGAUCUUCGGACCUUGCGCUAAUAGAUGAGCCUAAGUCAGAUUAGCUAGUUGGUGGGGUAAAGGCCUACCAAGGCGACGAUCUGUAGCGGGUCUGAGAGGAUGAUCCGCCACACUGGGACUGAGACACGGCCCAGACUCCUACGGGAGGCAGCAGUGGGGAAUAUUGGACAAUGGGCGAAAGCCUGAUCCAGCCAUGCCGCGUGUGUGAAGAAGGCCUUUUGGUUGUAAAGCACUUUAAGCGAGGAGGAGGCUACUUGGAUUAAUACUCUAGGAUAGUGGACGUUACUCGCAGAAUAAGCACCGGCUAACUCUGUGCCAGCAGCCGCGGUAAUACAGAGGGUGCGAGCGUUAAUCGGAUUUACUGGGCGUAAAGCGUGCGUAGGCGGCUUUUUAAGUCGGAUGUGAAAUCCCUGAGCUUAACUUAGGAAUUGCAUUCGAUACUGGGAAGCUAGAGUAUGGGAGAGGAUGGUAGAAUUCCAGGUGUAGCGGUGAAAUGCGUAGAGAUCUGGAGGAAUACCGAUGGCGAAGGCAGCCAUCUGGCCUAAUACUGACGCUGANGUACGAAAGCAUGGGGAGCAAACAGGAUUAGAUACCCUGGUAGUCCAUGCCGUAAACGAUGUCUACUAGCCGUUGGGGCCUUUGAGGCUUUAGUGGCGCAGCUAACGCGAUAAGUAGACCGCCUGGGGAGUACGGUCGCAAGACUAAAACUCAAAUGAAUUGACGGGGGCCCGCACAAGCGGUGGAGCAUGUGGUUUAAUUCGAUGCAACGCGAAGAACCUUACCUGGUCUUGACAUAGUAAGAACUUUCCAGAGAUGGAUUGGUGCCUUCGGGAACUUACAUACAGGUGCUGCAUGGCUGUCGUCAGCUCGUGUCGUGAGAUGUUGGGUUAAGUCCCGCAACGAGCGCAACCCUUUUCCUUAUUUGCCAGCGGGUUAAGCCGGGAACUUUAAGGAUACUGCCAGUGACAAACUGGAGGAAGGCGGGGACGACGUCAAGUCAUCAUGGCCCUUACGACCAGGGCUACACACGUGCUACAAUGGUCGGUACAAAGGGUUGCUACCUAGCGAUAGGAUGCUAAUCUCAAAAAGCCGAUCGUAGUCCGGAUUGGAGUCUGCAACUCGACUCCAUGAAGUCG
rnacentral:rRNA from 1 species